rnacentral:lncRNA from 1 species
UCUAUAUAAUGUCAAUUAGGUCUUGUUGGUUUGAUGAUAUUGUUGAGUUCUUCCAUAUACCUGCUGAUUUUCUGUCUAGUUGUUCUAUCCAUUUUUGAUAGAGGGGUGUUGAUGUCUCCAAAUAUAAUUGUGGAUUUGUCUGUGUCUGUUUUGAGUUCCAUUCGUUUUUGCCUCACACAUUUUUCAGCUCCUUUGUUUGGUGCAUAUGCAUUCAGGAUCGUUAUGUCUUACUGAUGGAUUGACC